GCUGUCUACAUAUUGCCGCGUGUACGCCCGAAAAGAAAUGCUUCUCCGCGCAUCUAGAAUUUUUUUUGUGUAUGCAUACUGCGAGUGUAAAAGAUAAGUAAGUCUUUCCCUAGCGAACUAUCGAACAAUCGGGGUCGAAUAUUCAAGAUGACGAGUGAUAAUAUUAAGAAGCCGAGCGUGGUAUUGGCGAUUUCUUAACUAAUUUACACUCGCAACAGCCAGCUGUCACGUCGACGCACCUUCGCUCGUUGCUGCCUUAUUGACGUGUGUUCUUUCAUUUUGUCUCUAGCACACGUUUGCCGAUUAAACCAUAAUUGUAAGUUUAUGAUACAUCGUUUUCUUGCCUUCAUUUGUCACAAUAUAUGCGGGCAGCGGCUGGCUGAAAGGCGCAGUCCAGCGGGGUUCGUAUGACAGCUGCAGUUCGAGAUUCCUUUUGUUGGAUGCAAGAUCGGGGGUUGGACUUCUAAUGAGCAGCUUGCUUGUGGGCGCCCUGGCGGCUCCCCAGCCCAGUAGCCCG